UACGUAGGGAGCAAGCGUUGUCCGGAAUUACUGGGUGUAAAGGGAGCGUAGGCGGGAUGGCAAGUCAGAUGUGAAAUCCAGGGGCUCAACCCCUGAACUGCAUUUGAAACUGUCGUUCUUGAGUACUGGAGAGGUUGACGGAAUUCCUAGUGUAGCGGUGAAAUGCGUAGAUAUUAGGAGGAACACCAGUGGCGAAGGCGGUCAACUGGACAGCAACUGACGCUGAGGCGCGAAAGCGUGGGGAGCAAACAGG
rnacentral:rRNA from 1 species